GAUGAACGCUGGCGGCGUGCCUAAUACAUGCAAGUCGAGCGAACGGACGAGAAGCUUGCUUUUCUGAUGUUAGCGGCGGACGGGUGAGUAACACGUGGAUAACCUACCUAUAAGACUGGGAUAACUUCGGGAAACCGGAGCUAAUACCGGAUAAUAUUUUGAACCGCAUGGUUCAAAAGUGAAAGACGGUCUUGCUGUCACUUAUAGAUGGAUCCGCGCUGCAUUAGCUAGUUGGUAAGGUAACGGCUUACCAAGGCAACGAUGCAUAGCCGACCUGAGAGGGUGAUCGGCCACACUGGAACUGAGGCACGGUCCAGACUCCUACGGGAGGCAGCAGUAGGGAAUCUUCCGCAAUGGGCGAAAGCCUGACGGAGCAACGCCGCGUGAGUGAUGAAGGUCUUCGGAUCGUAAAACUCUGUUAUUAGGGAAGAACAAAUGUGUAAGUAACUGUGCACAUCUUGACGGUACCUAAUCAGAAAGCCACGGCUAACUACGUG
rnacentral:rRNA from 1 species